ensembl:lncRNA
CGAUCGUUGGUGUCCCUCAGACCCUGGCAGCAGCAGGAGACUGGAGAAGACUGAACAGCACGGCGAGGAAUGGUUCAUUUAUUUAAUCUGACGAAGUGAUGAAAAGGAGCGAGUUGAACAGUCCCGGCACUCUGGCUACCCUGAGGAUUCAGAAGUGCUGGGAAAAUGUGGCAGCCGGAACGGACCAGUGAGUGGAUUAGGCAUGCAGGUGCAGACCCGGGGCUGAGGAGCGGAGAAGCCGGGGAGCUUUGCGCGCCGCCGGAUCUCCGGUGCCGCCGCGCGGGGGCUGGAGAGGAGCGCGCCGGGGGAGGAGGACGGCGGCCCGGCCUGCGGGGACGUGAGACGAGCUGCUCGCUUUUUAAAUUCUCUCUCUCUCUCUCUCUCUCUCUCUCUCUUCUUUUUUUAAAAAAUAAAUUCGGUGGCGUGAGGAGACGUUGCUCGGCGGGGCUUCGCGUCGUUUCCCGAACGUUUAAACAGACGCGAGGAAAAGCCAAAUCCGGGUCUCCGCGGCGGAAGCUGUGCGUGGGGAAAAACGUGGGAGACGCGCGUCAAGGACUAUGGUUAUGUGUGCUAUUGACCAGAAGAGUCUCAUCUUCAAAGAUUUGGGCCUUCCAGAAUAAAAAAGGCUGAACACUGCUUGCGCUGCUGUUUGCUGUCCUCAGAGUCACUUCCUUCAAGUGCAGAGAUAACUGGCCUGGCAGACAGAGAUAGCGGCCACUCUAUCACACCCUGCGCUGCUCAAAUCCUCCAUCACACUGUUUGUCUUAGACCAAGGCUAUUAAACACACACACACACACACACACACACACACAGAAAACACACCUGUGAGGCCAACACACCAAUGCCUCCCUGUGCCCAGACUGAGUGUGGCAGGGCUGCACUGAGCUGGUCAGUGUUGUGUGUUGAGGUGUCAUCUGCUGGUGGCGAGGGUGGCAGCUCUGCUGACAGUGCCGCGGCGGCAGUACAACCAAAACACUGCUGGCCAUCCGUGGAUGACACGAGCCACUGGAAUCCUGGCGACGGCUGAAAGCAAACAGCGACUUAUACUCGUACCCGCAGUAAAGAUAUCAGAUAUGUAUGUUUUAUGCAUAUUUGUAUGUGUCUGAUGAUUUAUGCUAUUUCUGUGAAAUACCAAGGUUUUUAAAUAAUGUUUUGUAAUUCAUUUCCGUUUUAUUCAUCUGAACUUUACAGAAUAAAAGAUCAAUUUUUUUUUAAAUCAGUAUUUUGUGCUGUCUGAUGAAAACAGAAGAAAAGUGUCCAUUAAAGCGUUGAAUAAUAUACAGCUGUAUACCAUAUAUAAAUACGUUAUGCAGGUGCAAAAGACUAUCAGGUACCUGAAUUAUAUAACUGAAACCACAACACAGGUGGAAUGUAUUCCAAUACAAAGCACCAUUCUUAGCUUAUUAUUGAGUCACUCUAUUUUAGCCUAACAAUGCUAAUUAAAUCAUAAAAUGGUUCAGUUAUGAUGAAGCUGUCUUGAAUCAGCCUGAGAAAUUGAGACAAGUGAAAGUCAAGACUAAUGGAUUUAGACAGGAAGUGGUUGGUUAUACAAGGACGCAUUCCAGCCCUGGGCUUCUGUUCGGCAGGUCUGUGCUCCAGGCCCUUCUCACCUACUAGGGCACUGUGUAAACUAUUAAGUGGGUUUUGGUGGGGGGGGGGCGUAAUUUAUCGUAACGUAGGCCAUUCUGUUGCGUAUCUAUAGAGCGGCGGCGCUAUGUAAUUGUAUAACUUUCAUGUUGUAUCAGUGCUGCAGCCUGAGGUGAUGAAACUGUCUCUGUCACACUACCCUCUGUGCUCUCGAAGCUCCCAGGCCCAGCUUUCAGCCACGGCCAUUCAGACCUCUUUAUUUAGAUACACAGGCUCUCAGCGCUGUGACACCAGCCCUCUGUGUGGCCCUAUUCACCCGGCGACGAGCAGGUCCCAGUUCUCCCUUCCCAUUCAUUUGGGUUUAUCGAUUAUGCCAGUUCUCUCACUCAUGGCUUUUAACUCCGGCAUUUACUGUGCACCUUACCUUUAAUGUGCCUUUACUGAUUUUUUGGUCC